AUCUGGACUCUACUGCAGCUCUGACACAGAGGAAACUCUAAAUGUUGAUAAUUCUACUUCUGAUGGACCAGAACCAUAAAGUUAUGAGUUUGCUGCUCACCCCAGAGAGCAGAGACCAGCCAGAGGGAGAAACCAUCGGGCAAAGCAGAGAGACUGACGAGAAGCAGCGGAGGAGCAGCUGUUUAGCUUAGAGAGAGACGCCUGUCAUCCGGUCCUGGAGCUCAUGCAGACUUCUGUGAGCUGGAUCCGACCCAGACACCAGCGAGCCAGUCCAGCUGGGAAAAAGCCUCUCCUGGUGCGGUGAUCUGAGCUCCAGAAAUCCACAUUUAAUUUUUUAAACCCCACCAGGUACACCAACAUACAACAUGGCAAGAGAUUGUAGCGUUGUAGUUUUACGCUCUUUUAUGAAAGAGGAACCAUGCUACGUAUUAAUUCGGAAUAUUAAUUUUUAAUAAAUCAAUAACCAAAUUUUAUAUUGUUCAGAAGACUCAAAGGUUGUUUUCAUCGAUAAACUGCCGAUAAUAUCUGAGUGUCUGUGUUUCAGUUCAAUGAGGAAACCAGUUUGAAGGAUUAAAAGUUUUAAUUCUUCAAAUUAAACUAAUGAUUUUGAAAAUUGACAAACAGGAAAUAACAAUCACAUUGGCAACUUUGUGGGACAAUCUUUAACAGUUGAUAUGCUGUUCUUGCUCAAAUAGACCUUCUGGUGAAUUUAUGAAGAUUGAGAAUGUUGUGAGUUGUGAGAGUGAUAUGAUGUGAUUAUGGAUGCGUGUGGGUGCAAAGUUUGGUGAGAUGAGGUGAGAUGGAUGCGUGUGUGCAUCUGAUUUUGCUUCAGGAAGAAACAGGUGUCUGAGUGAAAAGUGAUGGUUUGAAUAAACUUAGGUUUAGUUGGAAAAGAUGCAUCCAAACGCUAAACACCGUGCUGUCUCACCGAACUCUUGUGGACCCUCUUUCGGAUCCGGGCCGUGGAGGAUGUUGUGGUUCAUCCAGAUGACACCGGCGGCUGACAGGAGACGUAGGUGUCGAACGGAACCGGUCCAGAGUUGCCCUCGGUGCACGUUGAUGGUAAAGCGUUUUGUCGACGCGCUUUCUUAAGUUAAUUCACUCAGAAAUCAAAAGACUCGGUAAUGAGUCUGCGUUAGAAGUUGCGAUUCAGCUAUUCUGCCUGGCUUGGCAGAAACAGCGUGAGAGAAGGGGGGGGGAUUGAGCCCAUGGGCUCCGUUCCCCGUUAGCGGUUGUUCACACGUCCUCUCUCUUUCGUUGUCAAACAUGAACUGCAGUCAUCAGACUGAAACUUACCAAAAACCUUUCUCUUCUCAAAGCAAACAUGUGCGUCAUCAAAUGUGUCUGGAGUUUACUGUGGGAAGAUGUGUGUGGGUGUGUGUGAAGGUCAGUACCACACAUUCUCAACAUUAUUUAAGAAUGGAUUCAUUAAACCAUUAUAAUUACCCCAAAGCAUAAGAACCAUUCAUUUGAUUAAAACACAUUUAUAAUGAGCAAAAUGAUAAUGGUUACUUUAACAUUAAAAUCAAGAAAAAGAAGUUUAAACUUUAUGUUUUGACUUGGUCUGGGUACAACUCAUGGAAACACAUCUUCUGGUAGACCGCAGGUGGCUGAUGUUAUGGUUUCCUCCCAGACUCGCUGGCGUUCAGGUCUUAAUCUGUGGGUGAAAGUUCUCAGCGACCCAUCUUUGACCCAGCUGAGUCCAGCACCACCAUUGUGCCAGAAAACCCAUAUUUCCUCACGUUACAAGAUGUCAGCAAAAUCAUCAGCCCGUUAUUAAGAAACAGAGAUCAACACUGCAAAAACAGCAGAGAACUGGCAAAAGAACUAAAGGAGAUUACAAUAGAAGACAACGACAUACUCAUCUCACAUGACAUCACAUCCCUGUUCACAAAAACACCAACCCAAAAAACCAUAGACAUAGUAGUUAACAGAAUCAGACAAGACAAGACUUUACACAAAAGAACAAACCUCACAGCAGAUGACAUAGCACAACUGAAACACCACUUACUUCACAUACGACAACACAAUAUACAAACAACUGGAAGGCUUCGCCAUGGGUAACCCGUUAUCAGCCACCUAGAACAAAAAGCCAUAGCCACUGCCCCCCCCCCCCCCCCCCCCAAACUGCAAAAUAAAACUAUGGAAACGCUACGUAGACGACAUACUGGAAAUCAUACCAAAAGGACAAACAGAAACACUAACACAACACUUAAACAACAUUGACGACACAGGCAGCAUAAAGUUCACUUAUGAGUCAGAAACAGAAGGCAGCAUAGCAUUUAUGGAUAUGAAAAUCACCAGACAGACCGACGGGACCCUAAACAUAAACACAUACAGGAAACCAACACACACAGACCAAUAUCUAUUAUGGACAUCAGAACACCCCACCAUACACAACAUGUCAGUAAUCAGAACAUUAUAUCACCGAGCAAACAUAAUAACAGAAGAAAGAGUGUAAACAAGAAGACAAACACAUACAACACGCUUUAAAGACCUGCGGAUACCCAACAUGGGCAAUAAACAAAGGAAAACAACAAACAACAACAGAAAGAAAAGAACAACUAAAGCAAAGAACCAUAAACCCAGAAAGACAAGAACCAAAACCAGUGAUAACCCUACCAUACAUCAGAGGCAUAACAGAAAAAAUAAGAGCAACAAUGAAAAAAACACAACAUAAACACACCAACAAAACCAUACACAACAGUUAGAAACAGACUAGUGCACCCAAAAGACAAGAUACCAGCUGGGCUUAAAUGUGGAGUCGUUUACGAAAUCCCAUGUAAACUCUGCAAUAAAACAUACGUAGGAGAACCCGGACGCCAACUCAACACACGAACAAUAGAACACAGAAAGGAGUGUGAGAAAGAAACAAGUGGAAAACACACAAGAGCAGCAAAAGAAGAAGCAGAAAGCACAAUAAAGAAGUCAGCCGUAACAGAUCACUGCACAAGAGAAAACCAUAUAAUGAACUGGGACAACACACGGAUCAUAAACACCGAACAACAGAAAUACAAAAGAUGGAUCAAGGAAGCAAUCGAGAUAAGGAGACGUGGAUGUGGGACCAUGAACAGAGACGAUGGAGUUUACACGCUGGACCACGCAUGGGACUGCAUCGUCGGAGAGGGGAGAGCGGGCAGCAGAGGGCGACAACGUACAUAAAUAUUUACACUUCAGAUCAACUGCAGAACUGGAAUCUUUCCAUAACCACAUCCUGAUGUACACGAGCAAACGCUUCAGCGUCUCACCACCCGUGUACUCAGCUAGGACCAUGUUGGCCGCACUAGAUUACAACCAUCGUGUUGACAGACCAGCAAAGAGAAAGGCUGAUGGUGUAUUACAGUAUGUAGUUUUUAAGUUCCUCUCUUAAUUUUAUUUUGUAUAUUUUGUAACAAAAGCUGAUGUGGAUUUAGAGCAAGGACAGCUACUGAUUUGCAGUUGCCAUUAUCAUUUCCAUUCCAUCCAACCUGUUGUGUCCUUGUGUACGCAAAUUAAAUGACCUUGGCUACCAUUUUUUUGGGAGGUCGAAUGCCACAAAUUGUCUAUUACGGCUUCACUUGUGUAAGUUUGCAACAGGGCAGUUAUGGCUAAAGCCGGGCGUACACGGUGCGACUUUUUCACUUUUUUGAGCCGAUUUUCCAGUCGUGCGAGAAUCCACGACAUCGAGGCGAGUUUUGCGCCGAGCGUCGUGUAGCGUACAGGGGGUUACGAGAGGCGAUUAACACCACGUGACCAGCUGCCGAUCAGCAGUCGUGAGCUCGCACGGACUUCUGGCGUGUUUAAUAUUUUGCUCGUCCCUCGUGAGGGUAUCACUCUGUUGAAGCGGCGCUGCGAGCAGCAGCGACCCAAAAAGUACCAGAACCGCUCACGGCGCAUGCGCAAUCCUGCAUCAGCACCGCUCCCCGCUAUUUCCCUAAUAACACACGCUGUUCGUUUUUGUUUCUACACGUUUUUUUACUCACAAAGAUUGACAAGAAAGCGUGUUUGUCGUGUUCAUGUCAAAUUAAACUGAUCACAAAACACAGAUUUACUUUCUUUAUUUUGUUUUCCUCAUCCAACCCCCAUAAAUCCCUGUGUGUCCUCCUGCAGCACUCCCGAAGGACAACAGGCAAAACAAGACAAAAAAGUCUGACGUGUUGAGUAAAAACUGCUAUUUUUAGCAUAUUUUAGGGCCGACGUGUUGCCACCAGACGAACAGUGUGAGCAGUCAGGUCGCAACCGAGAACUGGGUCGUGCAGUGUGAGCGCCUGACUCGUGAGAUCUGCCCUGCGAGGAAGUCGUACAGAUUGAGCUGAAGCUGAGUGAUACGAGUGAACAAGUCACACAGUGUCCGCCCGGCUUAACAGGUAUCUUGUCGCCUCAAGUGUGUGAAUGUGAGCGUGUACAAGUGUUUGACUCUGUGUCGCAUCUGUUGAAGUUGAACAUGUAAAAAGUUUACUUGUUCA